AUUGAACGCUGGCGGCAGGCCUAACACAUGCAAGUCGAACGAGUGGCGGACGGGUGAGUAAUGUAUGGGAAACUGCCCGAUGGAGGGGGAUAACUACUGGAAACGGUAGCUAAUACCGCAUACCAUCGGAAAUGCCCAGAUGGGAUUAGCUAGUAGGUGGGGUAACGGCUCACAUAGGAGACUAUCCCUAGCUGGUCUGAGAGGAUGACAAGCAACACGGGACCUGAGACACGGUCCAAACGCUUACGGGAGGCGGCAGGGGGGAAUAUUGCACAAUGGGCGAAAGCCUGAUGCAGCCAUGCCGCGUGGAUGAAGAAGGCUUUCGGUUUGUAAAGUAGUUUCAGCGAGGAGGCGUUACUCGCAGAAGAAGCACCGGCUAACUCCGUGCCAGCAGCCGCGGUAAUUC
rnacentral:rRNA from 1 species